rnacentral:rRNA from 1 species
GACGAACGCUGGCGGCGUGCUUAACACAUGCAAGUCGAGCGGAAAGGCCCUUCGGGGUACUCGAGCGGCGAACGGGUGAGUAACACGUGAGCAACCUGCCCUGGACUUUGGGAUAACCCUCGGAAACGGGGGCUAAUACCGGAUAUUACCUUUGCCCGCAUGGGUGUCGGUGGAAAGUUUUCGGUCUGGGAUGGGCUCGCGGACUAUCAGCUUGUUGGUGGGGUGAUGGCCUACCAAGGCGACGACGGUUAGCCGGCCUGAGAGGGCGACCGGCCACACUGGGACUGAGACACGGCCCAGACUCCUACGGGAGGCAGCAGUGGGGAAUAUUGCACAAUGGGCGGAAGCCUGAUGCAGCGGCGCCGCGUGAGGGAUGAC